AUCACUAUAGCACAAUGGAUAGUGUGUUGGACUUCUAAUACAAAGGUCAUGGGUUCGAAUCCCACUUGCGAUG